UAGGGAAUCUUCCACAAAUGGACGAAAGUCUGAUGGAGCAACGCCGCGUGAGUGAAGAAGGGUUUCGGCUCGUAAAACUCUGUUGUUAAAGAAGAACAUAUCUGAGAGUAACUGUUCAGGUAUUGACGGUAUUUAACCAGAAAGCCACGGCUAACUACGUGCCAC
rnacentral:rRNA from 1 species